ACAUUGUACCGACAUGUCCAUAAAUUAUAAAUAAUGAAAGUAAAAAUAGAACAAUAUAGUACCUAACAUAAAUACAAAAUAGAAAUCGAAGCUAAACACUAAUGUUCAAAAGUAUACGAUAUUGACAGUUCUCUUGCUUCGAAUAGCCUGUGUGGAACUGGUAGAUUUAGCAAUUGAGUCGACAGAACUGGUACUGGGAAUAGCAGCAGGAAUAGUAGCCAAAGGAAUAUCAUUCUGUGUGCAUUUGAUUGAAUUAAGUUCAGCUGUUGUGACAAUACGAUACCAUCCUUCGUCCAGCAUUUAGAUAUUCCAAACUUCCGUCUCGCAGCCAUAAACAGUUCAUGUCUCUCCUUAGUAAGGAAUUCCGAAAGAGUCACACCCGUAUUUUUGAGAGAUGUUUUCGAGUACCAGAUUUUAUUACGAAGCGACGCGUCAUAGAAUUUGACAAGAAUAGCUCGAGGCUUAUCUCGCGUGGACCCAAUCGCUGGCAUCGGCUGAGCUUAUCCAUGAAAUUCCAUGCAAGAGGAGCAUCUUCCUUCUACUUCGCAUCUUCAUUUGGUUGUAUUGCUUUGACAGGAGUUCAACUUGCUUCUGAAGGCUCUCCAACGCAGUUAAAACAAAGACUCUAAAUGUAUUAAACUGAGCUGCUAUAUUGGUGGUUGGACAUGAUGCUGGGAUAGAACUCUGAAGAGUCUUUUGAAAUUCAACCAUCCGUGAGUUGAAGUGUUCAGUCAGGUCUUUAAUUGAGUGCUUGAUGGACUCCAUAGUGCAAAUGUGAAUGUAUUAUAUAUUCUUUCAAGGUUUCUGUUUAUGAGGGAUUAAAUCUGUGUUAUGGAGAUGUAGCUGGCAGGUAGGGAACACAAAUAGCACAUUUGUAUUAGCAUAAUUAUUGAUCUUUCAAUUUAUUUAAUUUAAAUUAACAAGAGCUCUUAUAAAACC